rnacentral:rRNA from 1 species
ACCCUGAUGCAGCGACGCCGCGUGGAGGAAGAAGGUCUUCGGAUUGUAAACUCCUGUUGUUGGGGAAGAUAAUGACGGUACCCAACAAGGAAGUGACGGCUAACUACGUGCCAGCAGCCGCGGUAAAACGUAGGUCACAAGCGUUGUCCGGAAUUACUGGGUGUAAAGGGAGCGCAGGCGGGAAGACAAGUUGGAAGUGAAAUCCAUGGGCUCAACCCAUGAACUGCUUUCAAAACUGUUUUUCUUGAGUAGUGCAGAGGUAGGCGGAAUUCCCGGUGUAGCGGUGGAAUGCGUAGAUAUCGGGAGGAACACCAGUGGCGAAGGCGGCCUACUGGGCACCAACUGACGCUGAGGCUCGAAAGUGUGGGUAGCAAACAGGAUUAGAUACCCUGGUAGUCCACACCGUAAACGAUGAUUACUAGGUGUUGGAGGAUUGACCCCUUCAGUGCCGCAGUUAACACAAUAAGUAAUCCACCUGGGGAGUACGACCGCAAGGUUGAAACUCAAAGGAAUUGACGGGGGCCCGCACAAGCAGUGGAGUAUGUGGUUUAAUUCGACGCAACGCGAAGAACCUUACCGGGAUUUGACAUCCUACUAACGAAGUAGAGAUACAUUAGGUGCCCUUCGGGGAAAGUUGAGACAGGUGGUGCAUGGUUGUCGUCAGCUCGUGUCGUGAGAUGUUGGGUUAAGUCCCGCAACGAGCGCAACCCCUAUUGUUAGUUGCUACGAAAGAGCACUCUAGCGAGACUGCCGUUGACAAAACGGAGGAAGGUGGGGACGACGUCAAAUCAUCAUGCCCCUUAUGACCUGGGCUACACACGUAAUACAAUGGUGGCCAACAGAGGGAAGCAAAGCCGCGAGGCAGAGCAAAACCCUAAAAGCCAUCUCAGUUCGGAUUGCAGGCUGCAACUCGCCUGCAUGAAGCUGGAAUU